rnacentral:rRNA from 1 species
GAUGAACGCUGGCGGCGUGCCUAAUACAUGCAAGUCGAGCGAACAGAUGAGGAGCUUGCUCCUCUGACGUUAGCGGCGGACGGGUGAGUAACACGUGGAUAACCUACCUAUAAGACUGGGAUAACUUCGGGAAACCGGAGCUAAUACCGGAUAAUAUAUUGAACCGCAUGGUUCAAUAGUGAAAGACGGUUUUGCUGUCACUUAUAGAUGGAUCCGCGCCGCAUUAGCUAGUUGGUAAGGUAACGGCUUACCAAGGCAACGAUGCGUAGCCGACCUGAGAGGGUGAUCGGCCACACUGGAACUAAGACACGGUCCAGACUCCUACGGGAGGCAGCAGUAGGGAAUCUUCCGCAAAGGGCGAAAGCCUGACGGAGCAACGCCGCGUGAGUGAUGAAGGUCUUCGGAUCGUAAAACUCUGUUAUUAGGGAAGAACAAAUGUGUAAGUAACUAUGCACGUCUUGACGGUACCUAAUCAGAAAGCCACGGCUAACUACGUG